rnacentral:rRNA from 1 species
AUUGAACGCUGGCGGAAUGCCUUACACAUGCAAGUCGAACGGCAGCACGGGGCAACCUGGUGGCGAGUGGCGAACGGGUGAGUAAUACAUCGGAACGUGCCCAAUCGUGGGGGAUAACGUAGCGAAAGUUACGCUAAUACCGCAUACGAUCUACGGAUGAAAGCGGGGGAUCGCAAGACCUCGCGCGAAUGGAGCGGCCGAUGUCAGAUUAGGUAGUUGGUGGGGUAAAGGCUCACCAAGCCAACGAUCUGUAGCUGGUCUGAGAGGACGACCAGCCAGACUGGGACUGAGACACGGCCCAGACUCCUACGGGAGGCAGCAGUGGGGAAUUUUGGACAAUGGGCGCAAGCCUGAUCCAGCCAUUCCGCGUGCAGGAUGAAGGCCUUCGGGUUGUAAACUGCUUUUGUACGGAACGAAACGGUUCUCUCUAAUACAGGGGGCUAAUGACGGUACCGUAAGAAUAAGCACCGGCUAACUACGUGCCAGCAGCCGCAGUAAGAC